rnacentral:rRNA from 1 species
UACAGAGGUCUCAAGCGUUGUUCGGAUUCAUUGGGCGUAAAGGGUGCGUAGGCGGCGUGGUAAGUCGGGUGUGAAAUCUCGGAGCUUAACUCCGAAACUGCAUUCGAUACUGCCGUGCUUGAGGACUGGAGAGGAGACUGGAAUUUACGGUGUAGCGGUGAAAUGCGUAGAUAUCGUAAGGAAGACCAGUGGCGAAGGCGGGUCUCUGGACAGUUCCUGACGCUGAGGCACGAAGGCCAGGGGAGCAAACGGGG